rfam:Capsicum annuum cultivar Zunla-1 chromosome 12, whole genome shotgun sequence
UCAAUGGUUUUUCUCAAAACCAAAUUAAACAACAUCAAAUUCCUUU